rnacentral:rRNA from 1 species
GACGAACGCUGGCGGCGUGCUUAACACAUGCAAGUCGAACGGAGCGAAUGAAAGCUUGCUUUUAUGAGCUUAGUGGCAAACGGGUGAGUAACACGUAGACAACCUGCCGACAGGAUGGGGACAACAUUCCGAAAGGAAUGCUAAUACCGAAUGAAGCGGAGGAGAGGCAUCUCUCUUCCGUGAAAGAUGGCCUCUUUUUAUGCUAUCACCUGUUGAUGGGUCUGCGUCUGAUUAGCUGGUAGGUGAGGUAACGGCUCACCUAGGCGACGAUCAGUAGCCGGUCUGAGAGGAUGAACGGCCACAUUGGGACUGAGACACGGCCCAGACUCCUACGGGAGGCAGCAGUGGGGAAUCUUCCGCAAUGGGCGCAAGCCUGACGGAGCAACGCCGCGUGAGUGAAGAAGGUCUUCGGAUCGUAAAGCUCUGUUGACGGGGACGAACGUGCGUGAUGCGAACAGUGUCAUGCAAUGACGGUACCUGUCGAGGAAGCCACGGCUAACUACGUGCCAGCCGCCGCCGUAACAC